UGUAUUAGAGGAAGUGUCUGUGUGUGCGUGUGACAGAGGCAAAGCCGCAGGGACCUUGUGCUCCAUAUAGCUUUGCUGACUCCAGAGAAAAUUCUGAGAAAUAGGCCGGAAGUAGGAAGAUGCAUCAUUUUCCUCGGAAAGAAGUAGUCCUCCUGGAUGAGCCGCCUGGGGCUCGCUGACCACAGGUGUUACCUCGCUGGAAGUUGCGCAGCUAAAUACAGGACAAAAGUGGGAUGGAACUGAUGAUGGCCAACGCGAAGGUGAGAAGCCUGAAGUGCGGUCCAGGAGGGAGUGUGGGGAGCGAGCGUAGCUACCGCCUCCCGGGUGUGCUGGGGCUGAGCACACAGAUACAGCAAGGCAUGGGAGUGGCAGGAGUAUUAUCUCCAUUUUAUGGAUGAUGAAACUGAGAGUGAGAGAAGUCAUGCAGUUCUCCACAGUCUUCACAUGGAAUAACCAAGAGCCAAACCUAGAUGUGUCAUUCAGAUCUUUUCCACCGCUGUGGACUACCUCUCAAUAGACAUCCACAGACAGAAGACUCUUCAGACUCCCAGGGAGACCACUGCAGCUGGGUGGGUCCAAUCUUGGAAGUCCCAUUUGUAACCAUGAUGAGGGUGUCUAAAUAUAAUUUGCAACAAAGUCAAAAAACAGGACUCCUAUAAAUAUGUGGCGAACAUGUGUCACAGAUUUAUUUAACUUAUUAAUGAAGGAACCAAUAGAAUGGCAAGGUUCAUUCAAAAAAUACAAGAAACCCUUAAGCAUUACUGAAAGAAUGCUGGGAUAAGAUUGCCAAAUUGCUUACAAGAUUGAUUACCCUAUAAGGCAACAAAAGUAUAGCCUUUGGGUUGUGAUCUAUUCUACCUGACAAAACCAUGGCACUUCUAUGAGAUAAGAAUCAUGGGCAUGACUGUUGGUCUCCUCCAAUUUCACAUAAGACAGUGUCCCAAUUGCUAGUAAAUAGAAGGUCAAAAUAAAGGAAUGUACCCCUAGAGAACAAAAUGAGCCUCAAAUGGCUCUCUUAGAUUGUACCCCAGGUAGUCAUUCUUUUGCCCAACUCCAAGUUUUGGAUACUGUGUCUAAACACAGGGCAGUGAGCUGAUGACCCCCAGAGCUGUUGUAACACGAUGUUGUAAAGCUUGGUGUUUAGGGUUAGGAGACCACCGGGUUCAAAUUGUGGCCCCACCAUUUUGCACGCCUGUGCAAAUCUCUAUACCCUGAGCCAUAGUUUCAUCAUCUGUAAAGAUUUUUUUUUUUUAAUUAGGAUAACAGUAUUCUCUCCUCAACCUCACGGAAUUUGGGCAGGAACUCAUAAGAGUGAAUACAGCAGGACUGGGUGCUUUAUUCUUCUGGCUUCUGAUUGAAGGCGAACCGGCCACUAUCACCAGAAGUCCUUGAUGGCAAACUUCUAAUAUGGCGGGAUACGUCGCUCGGCGCUGAGCUCUCUCCGAUGCACAGGUGCCUCCAGUGAGUAUGUGCCACCUGCAGACCGAGCCAGCAAAACAAGUAUGGCAAAGACUCUGGAGCCCUGAGUCAUGUGAAGGAGUCAGAACUGUUGUGAGGGUGCUUUUGACAAUGAAGCUUUGCAAAGAGAUGCAGUGACCCUGAGUCAUUUCACCAACCAUCCUGGCGCGAGCCCAGAAGGAGACCUCUGUCACAGUCUUCACCAGGGUUUGGCGAACUUCUCCCCCAGACGGCAGGCACUGUAGGCUGAGCAGGCCACAUACAGCCUCUGUGGUUGUAUAUUCUUUGUUUUUAUUUUUAUUUUUGUUGUUUAGAACCUUUUUUUCUUCUUCAACUUUUUUAAGGGGUAAAAGCUCUUCUUGGCUUCCUGGCUGUAUUAGAAUAAGCAGCAGCCCGAGUUUGGCCCGAGGGCCAGAGAUUGCCGACCCAGAUGUGGUGGCCUGGGAGUGGAGAGAACUGCCCCCGCAUCCUGCACUCCUCACCUUCCAGCUGUGUGAGCUCAGGCAAGCGUCCUCACCCCUCUGAGCCUCAGUGUCCUCGGUGAUGACAUUCUUUCACGAAAUACCUCCCUCUCAUGUACUGCCUUGCCGAGCACCCAGGAGUGUUUGUGAGGCUAAAUAAAAUGAAAAGGCCCUGAUACGUGAAAAGAAUGUGGCUUACGGCAGGUCUGCUAUUGCUGGAAACCGAAGGUAGCUGGGGCUGCCCUGGGCAGGGGCCACAAAAGCCAUCUGUGUUCCAUGUCCACAAAGUUCCACGACGAUGGCCUGGCCUUGGGCAGGGCGGCGUGACAGCAUCCCAAGGAUGUGUAUUCAGUGUGUCCACGGUGGGUCCUAUAUUUGUUCAAGGCGUCCUCUCUGAGUCUGACCUGCAGCCAAGGCUGAGUGGCCACCAGAACCACGUCCCACUCCUCGUGGUCUGAAAACUGCCCAUUGUGCCUCUGGUGGCCACAGCGCCCCCCACCCUGGUGCCCACGGAGCCUGGGGACCUUCAAAGCAAAGCCACUUCCCCAGUCAGCUAAGGGUGAGACUUGAGCCUGGGCCGCCAGCUUGGAAGACUGUUUAUGUCCAAAUCAGUAACCCAUAUUUCUCUGAGAGAACGGGGAAGGUAAGCGGGGAGGUGACCAGAUCCACUGUGACUACCCCGGGAAAGGAAGCUGGCAGCUCAGAGCAAGACCUGCUGCAGGCCUGUUGUCUGCCGCGUGCAUUCUCGCUGGCCCCGUUGACAGACACACAGACAUCGAGGCCCAGGAGGUCCCCCGGCCGGCUCGGGCCACACAGUUAAUCCACAGUUUUGAUCGAGAGAGAGAGAGAGAGAGAGAGAGAGAGAGAAAGGCAGUGGUCUCCAGUGAGGCUGGUUUCUCCUGCCAUUACCCUCCUGUCAUCCUGCCAACACUUCCCUUUAUGGCGUUUUCCUGUGGCCGGAGGAUCAGAAUGUUGCAACAUUUAUGGUAAAAUCUCCAAGGGUUGUUUUUUUUUUUUUUUAAUCUCUAAGGCUGAUGAUUAACUCUUAUUAAGAAACAAAUUCCUGCUCCCAUCAUGAGGAUUACACCCUGGAGCAGUUCUGAGCUGGACUCACCCAGGUUGUCACUAAUUCUCUGCUUUAUCCCCAGGUUGUUCCUGUAAAGACUGGAUUAAAAAAAAAAAAA